rnacentral:lncRNA from 1 species
UUGCUCCCAUCUUAUGAUUCAUGAGUUUAAGUUCAAAGCUUUGUGGCACAUUGAAUCAUGGUAUCAAUACUUUGCCUUCUCAGACCUGCUUUUGUGAUUUGAUGCAAAUCAUUUUUGGGAUAGACCGUUGCUAACUAAUGAUCAUCAGUACAUGUUCAUUUUGUGAAUUACAUUCCUAGCCAUAUAAUGAUUUGACUUUAAGGUUGGUCAUUAUCCUUUGAGUGAUCAGCACACUACCAUGAUAAGUGUAUGAGAACUAUUUGAAAGAUGAUAAUUUCAAUUCUAUUGUGAAUCGAUCCUGAUCCGAUCUCGAGUGAACAUGCAUCAAGAUGAUAAUUUCAAUCUGAGAUUUUAGUUAGUCACUUAUCUAGUGUUAAUCUUGCGAGUUUAUAUGAAAGUUUUGAUAAUUGAUUCAAAGUUAUCUAUCACACUGAUUUUUAACGAGAAGAAUACGAUCCUGAAUUUAUAUUACUCAAUGGGCUGAGCAUCUUUAAAUUUGAAAGGCCUAGAUCUCUCAAAUUUCG